rnacentral:rRNA from 1 species
ACGAACGCUGGCGGCAGGCCUAACACAUGCAAGUCGAACGGUCUCUUCGGAGGCAGUGGCAGACGGGUGAGUAACGCGUGGGAAUCUACCCAUCGGUACGGAAUAACUCCGGGAAACUGGAGCUAAUACCGUAUACGUGCUUCGGCAGAAAGAUUUAUCGCCGAUGGAUGAGCCCGCGUCGGAUUAGGUAGUUGGUGGGGUAACGGCCUACCAAGCCUGCGAUCCGUAGCUGGUCUGAGAGGAUGAUCAGCCACACUGGGACUGAGACACGGCCCAGACUCCUACGGGAGGCAGCAGUGGGGAAUAUUGGACAAUGGGCGCAAGCCUGAUCCAGCCAUGCCGCGUGAGUGAUGAAGGCCUUAGGGUUGUAAAGCUCUUUCGGCGGGGACGAUGAUGACGGUACCCGCAGAAGAAGCCCCGGCUAACUUCGU